AGGUCAUUGCUAUUGGAGUCCGAUUUAGCCAUGCUAGUUGUACGAGUUUAGACUCGUAGCAGAUAGCUCAGUAACACGUGGCCAAACUACCCUAUCGAGCACGAUACUCUCGGGAAACUGAGGUUAAUAGUGCAUACGGCUCGCUGCCUGGAGUGGCGCGAGCUAGAAAUGCUCAGGCGCGAUAGGAUGUGGCUGCGGCCGAUUAGGUAGACGGUGGGGUAACGGCCCACCGUGCCGAUAAUCGGUACGGGUUGUGAGAGCAAGAGCCCGGAGACGGUAUCUGAGACAAGAUACCGGGCCCUACGGGGCGCAGCAGGCGCGAAACCUUUACACUGCACGAGAGUGCGAUAAGGGGACUCCAAGUGCGAGGGCAUAUAGUCCUCGCUUUUUCCGACCGUAGGAUGGUCGGCGAAUAAGUGCUGGGCAAGACCGGUGCCAGCCGCCGCGGUAAUACCGGCAGCACAAGUGAUGACCGCUAUUAUUGGGCCUAAAGCGUCCGUAGCUGGCCACGCAAGUCCAUCGGGAAAUCUCUCCGCUCAACGGAGAGGCGUCCGGUGGAAACUGCAUGGCUUGGGACCGGAAGAUCCAGAGGGUACGUCUGGGGUAGGAGUGAAAUCCUGUAAUCCGAGACGGACCACCGGUGGCGAAAGCGCUCUGGAAAGACGGAUCCGACGGUGAGGGACGAAAGCUCGGGUCACGAACCGGAUUAGAUACCCGGGUAGUCCGAGCUGUAAACGAUGUCUGCUAGGUGUGGCACAGGCUACGAGCCUGUGCUGUGCCGUAGGGAAGCCGUGAAGCAAACCCGCCUGGGAAGUACGUCUGCAAGGAUGAAACUUUAAAGGAAUUGGCGGGGGAGCACUACAACCGGAGGAGCCUGCGGUUU
rnacentral:rRNA from 1 species